AGAGUUUGAUCAUGGCUCAGGACGAACGCUGGCGGCGUGCUUAACACAUGCAAGUCGAACGGUGAAGCCCUUCGGGGUGGAUCAGUGGCGAACGGGUGAGUAACACGUGGGCAAUCUGCCCUGCAUUCUGGGACAAGCCUUGGAAACGAGGUCUAAUACCGGAUACGACGCAUCUCCGCAUGGAGUGUGCGUGGAAAGCUCCGGCGAUGCAGGAUGAGCCCGCGGCCUAUCAGCUUGUUGGUGGGGUAAUGGCCUACCAAGGCGACGACGGGUAGCCGGCCUGAGAGGGCGACCGGCCACACUGGGACUGAGACACGGCCCAGACUCCUACGGGAGGCAGCAGUGGGGAAUAUUGCACAAUGGGCGAAAGCCUGAUGCAGCGACGCCGCGUGAGGGAUGACGGCCUUCGGGUUGUAAACCUCUUUCAGCAGGGAAGAAGCGCAAGUGACGGUACCUGCAGAAGAAGCACCGGCUAACUACGUGCCAGCCGCCGCGGUAAUAC
rnacentral:rRNA from 1 species